rnacentral:piRNA from 1 species
GUAUGACAAAGUAGAGGUAGUAGAACA